UACGGAGGGGGCUAGCGUUGUCCGAAGUUACUGGGCGUAAAGCGCGCGUAGGCGGGUUGGUAAGUCCGCUGUGAAAGCCCGGAGCUUAACUCCGGAGGGUCGGUGGAUACUGCCAGUCUUGAAGGUGCUAGGGGGAGAUGGAAUUACCGGUGUAGCGGUGAAAUGCGCAGAUAUCAGGAAGAACACCAAUGGCGAAGGCAGCUCUCUGGGACGGUACUGACGCUGAGACGCGAAAGCGUGGGGAGCGAACAGG
rnacentral:rRNA from 1 species